AGGCGAGCAGUUGCCGGCGGGCGCCGCCGGGAUCGCGAUGGGGCAGCCGCAGUUCCCGCAACAGGCUUCUCCCCAGGGGCAGGGGUACGGGCAGGCGCCGCAGAACUACCCACAGUACUCUCCACCGCCCCAGGGGCAGGGGUAUGGCCUGCCGCCGAACGCGCAGUACCCACCUCCUCCGGCACAAGGUUAUGGAUCCAACCUUCACCAGCAGCAGCAGCAGUUCCCCGCUCCUCCGGCACAAGGCUACGGGGCGCACGCGCCGAACCAGCAGCACCCUCCCCCGGCUCAUGGCUACGGAGCGCACGCGCCGGACCAGCAGUUC
rnacentral:lncRNA from 1 species